UUGUGGAUUGGUACACCGUUAAUAUUGAUUCUUCAAAGAAAUUCUUUUUUCUAUGUAGAUUACAGGAUGCCAGUUAUAUUCAGUAAAGAGCCAUUCUCGACCGGUAUCUUUGUUUUGGGAAGUGUCGUUAUGAUGAGCAGCAGUGCGUAUAUUUUUACAAAGAAAGUUAGCGUGGAUAGUUACAUGAUAAAUAUGAUAUUGCUGACAACGGCACAAUAUAAAUACGUCGCAUUAAAACUAUCGAUGAUAUUUCAAAAUAAGUCUCUUCCGAGUGAUCAGGACAAAUCUGAUACAAAAAAAUGUCAUCUUAAGAGAGAUUAUUAUAUUGAAAAAAAGAUAAAAGCUUUAUGUCGACAUCAUAACAUGAUUAUUCAGUAAGUUUAUUAUCUAAAAUUUCUCAAAAAUUAUAAAUUUUGAAAGAUUUUAAGUUUAAAUGAAAUAUAUUUGUGGCGAGUUUAUAAUAUUAUACAUUUUGGAAUUAAGAGGAUAUAAUCGUUAUUAAAUUCUAGCAAUAAGCUAAAUCUUUUAAAACGUUUUAUCGCAAUCUAAAUUUGUUAUUAUAAUUAUCUGCAAUAAUACAUUCAUAAUAAUAUUUACAAUAUUAAUUCUUACUUUAUCUUUUAAUAACGUCUUAAAUUGUAUGUGAUGCUUUCUGUUUCAGCAUAAUGAUAAUGCUAAAAAAAUUAUUGUCUUUAAAUAUCAGUUUAAUAUAUUUAAUUAGUGUUUUUCGAUUUUGUUGCAUCGCUAUUAUGAUAAUUUCAAUACCAUUGAUAACUUUGUGGGAAGUAUUCCUGUACAUUUUGUAUGCAACCGGCGGAAUAGUGCAGCUCUACAUAAUAUGUUAUUGUGUGCAACAGCUAUCAGAUGCGAGUGUUGAAAUAACGGAUUCUGCAUUUCACGAAAGAUGGUACCAAUACGGAGCAUACAUAAAACGUACAUUUUUGUUAAUGAUAAUGGCGAAUAAUUUAGAUGUUAAAUUAUCAACGUUUGCAAAGUACAAUCUUUCCAUGUCUUCAUUCAUGGUAGUAAGUUUUUACAUAUUCCACGUGUCAUUAGUUUAUUUAUUCUAAUAUUUAGUAUUCUCUUUAUAUUUUAUAAAAAAUAUUCUAAAAUAUAUAUUAUAAAUUUCUGAAUAUUUUAGAUUUUAAAUCAAGCGUACUCAAUCGCUCUUUUUCUAUUAAGAACUAGUUAAAACUAAUUGCUGAAAAUAUUUAAUGUAAUAGUGAGUAUAUACUUUUUAUUAUAUAAAUAAAAUCUAAAUAUCUAAUAUUUUUUUGAAAAGUUAACUUUGUUUAUUUAAAAUAUAUAAUUUUUGUUUUAGUGGAAUUAAUAUUGCCAUGUGUAGUAUAAUACGUUUAACAAUUGAAUAAAAUUUUAAAUAGAUAGUGAGCAAACAUUAGAAGAAAAUGUAAAUUUUAUUGCAACUAGAACGUAAUAUUGUGCAGGAACUUAUUUCUUGUUCCAAUAUACUGUCACACGUAAUGAUAAAUAGUCUAUUGAUAAAAGAGAGAUAUCAUAGUGUAUUUAUAAUUUCAAAUAUGAAAGAAAUGCUUUGUAUACUUUUUUUACAAUAAGCAAUGGUUCAAUAGCAAUGUAAAACAAAAAUAAUUAAUUUAAAUAAUCUAAAUAAAAAUGUGAAUAAAAUUAACAAUUUAUAUAAAGGAUUAAUAACGACAUAUGAAGAUAGAAUUAUCAGAUAUUGCAUAAUGACAUAUUAAAAUAUUUUGCUCGUGCUAACCAACAUCAUGUGUGAUGUUUGGUUUUGUAAAGAUCGCAACAUUGAACUAGUCAAAAUAAAAUAAGACAAUUACAUAGAAGUAUGCAGAGCAUUUCUCUACAUUUUUUUCUGAAUAGUAUUAAUGCAACAAAUUACGUGUAUCUGAACAGUAAUGUAAAAUCGAGAUAAGAUAUAUUUAUAAAUUUAGAUAUGUAUGAAUUAUUUAUACACUGAAAAAAUGCACUGUAUCCGGUAAGAUAUGUUGUUGCUGCCAACUACAGAUAUACUCAAUACAAUAAUAUAUGCUAUUGCAAUAUCAACAUUGUACUUGCAUUAACAGUAAAUAUUAUUGUAUUGAGUAUUUUAUGUAGUUGGCAGCCCACAAUUACAUAUGUUAUUGGUUAUAUUACUUUUUUUUUGUGUAGAGAGUAUAAUUAUACAGAUAGAUGUAUAUAAUAACAUAUAAAACUAAUGACAGUAGAUAGAUUAGAAGAGCAAGAAAGGGAGAGAGAUAAAGGAAAGAAAAAAAGCUUUAGAAUUAAACAAAUUUAUUUUUAAUUUGCGCGUUAAUUAUCGCGCUAUUUACUUUUUUACUAUUUUUGAAA